rnacentral:snRNA from 1 species
UACUUGCUUCAGCAGCACAUGUACUAAACCUGGAAUGACACAGAGAAGAUUAGCAUGGGCCCUGUGUGAGGAUGACAUGCAAAUCUGUGAUGCGUUCCAUAUU